UUUUGUGAUUAGGAUGCCCAUGAGUUUCUCUUUCAUUGUUUGAGACAAAUGGAGGAGUUUAGCCAAAUCAUCUGCUGGUCAGGAGGUGUGGCUUAUGAAUGCCCUGUCAGAUCACACUUUGGCUUUCAGCUCAUGUGUGUUAUUACAUGCGGAGGCUGUGGUUCUCAGAAAAGCAGACAGGAAGAGUGUAAUCAUCUUGCUGUAGCUCUGAUGCCCCAGGGCUCAGUCACAGACUGCAUCAAACUCUUCUUCAGUGACGAGGCAGAAAUUGAGUGCAGGUGUGAGGUGUGUGGAUGUAACUCUGCCAGCUGCAGGUGGGCGUUCCACACACUGCCCAGGGUUGUCGGCUGAUCGCAUUGAGAAGCAGCACGAUGAGAUUCAAAUAGACACAGAGUUACAGUUGAGCCUUCCAGUGCAAAGCAACUCUGGAGAAUCAACAGGACACAAUCAGAAGAAAAGAGCUUCACACCUUUCACAUCUCUUUAGAGACACGCCCCCAAAGGAGUGAAACAGUCUUCAGGUUCUCGUUGAUCAGUGUGCUGAACCGUGUGGGACACAGCAUAAACUUCGGACACUACCUGAGUGACUGCUCCAACCAGUCAGAUUCAUGCUGGCUGUCUUGUGACGACGGGAAGGUCACCUUAAUGACGGAGGAGCAGGUUGCCCAGCGAAGGCAGAGUAGUGCUUAUUUGUUACUGUAUGAGAGAAAAUAAUUGUUGUGUGUAACUCAUGUCCUUCUCUCCUCCCUGAGCUCCACAGCUCCUGCAGCCACACUCAGUCUCCGAGCCCUGGAGAGCAGAUCAGCUCUCCCAGCUCUAAACUCUAAUCAGACACCCCGCCGGCCAGAGGAGGACUGGCUCCCUCAGUGAGUUUCGGCUCCUCUCAAGGUUUCUUACUCGAUUGGCUCAGAAUGAGUUUUUCCUUGCCACUGUUGCCCUAGGUGUGCUCACUGGGGGCUUGGGUCCAGGGGAAAUGUCCUUCUUCAGAUUAGAGGUCACACCAGGGCCAAUCAGAGAAGGAGACUGCAGUUAACUUUCAUGUGUGGCAUUAACUGACCUGUCCAUGCUCCGCCCUGAUGCUGGUUUGGACCAACUCUACAGAACAAUGUAAAGAAUCUCAUUCGCCCUAAUGAGAAACUGCAGUGCACAACAGAGUUUGGUCA